rnacentral:rRNA from 1 species
UACGUAGGGGGCGAGCGUUAUCCGGAUUUACUGGGUGUAAAGGGAGCGCAGGCGGCAGGGCAAGUCAGAUGUGAAAUACCGGAGCCCAACCCCGGGACUGCAUUUGAAACUGUCCGGCUGGAGUGCAGGAGAGGCAGGCGGAAUUCCUAGUGUAGCGGUGAAAUGCGUAGAUAUUAGGAGGAACACCAGUGGCGAAGGCGGCCUGCUGGACUGUAACUGACGCUGAGGCUCGAAAGCGUGGGGAGCAAACAGG